rnacentral:rRNA from 1 species
UAAGGAAUAUUGGACAAUGGUCGCAAGACUGAUCCAGCCAUGCCGCGUGCAGGAAGACGGCCCUAUGGGUUGUAAACUGCUUUUGUACCAGAGAAAACCUAUCUACGUGUAGAUAGCUGAUAGUAUGGUAAGAAUAAGCAUCGGCUAACUUCGUGCCAGCAGCUGCGGUAAGACGAAGGAUGCAAGCGUUAUCCGGAUUCAUUGGGUUUAAAGGGUGCGUAGGCGGGCUUGUAAGUCAGUGGUGAAAUCUCUCAGCUUAACUGAGAAACUGCCAUUGAUACUGCAGGCCUAGAGUAUAGAUGACGUUGGCGGAAUAUGACAUGUAGUGGUGAAAUACUUAGAUAUGUCAUAGAACACCGAUUGCGAAGGCAGCUAACGAAACUAUAACUGACGCUGAGGCACGAAAGUGCGGGGAUCAAACA